rnacentral:rRNA from 1 species
UACAGGGGGCUCGAGCGUUAGUCGGAAUCACUGGGCUUAAAGGGUGCGUAGGCGGCUCGCCAAGUGCUUUGUGAAAUCCCACAGCUCAACUGUGGAACAGCAGGGCAAACUGGCGGGCUUGAGGCAGGUAGGGGCCGGAAGAACAGUUGGUGGAGCGGUGAAAUGCGUAGAUAUCAACUGGAAUGCCGAUGGGGAAGCCGUCCGGCUGGGCCUGUCCUGACGCUGAGGCACGAAAGCGUGGGGAGCAAACAGG